rnacentral:rRNA from 1 species
UAGGGAAUAUUGGACAAUGGGUGAGAGCCUGAUCCGGCCAUGCCGCGUGCAGGAAGAAGGCGUUAUGCGUUGUAAACUGCUUUUGCCAGGGGAUAAAAAGACCGUGCGCGGUUAAUUGAAGGUACCUGGUGAAUAAGCCACGGCUAACUACGUGCCAGCAGCCGCGGUAAUACGUAGGUGGCAAGCGUUGUCCGGAUUUAUUGGGUUUAAAGGGUGCGUAGGUGGCCCUGUAAGUCAGUGGUGAAAUAUCUCAGCUUAACUGAGAGGGUGCCAUUGAUACUGCAGGGCUUGAGUACAGAUGAGGUAGGCGGAAUUGACGGUGUAGCGGUGAAAUGCAUAGAUAUCGUCAAGAACACCGAUAGCGAAGGCAGCUUACCAAGCUGUAACUGACACUGAGGCACGAAAGUGUGGGGAUCAAACAGGAUUAGAUACCCCCGUAGUCCCUGAGCGGGCUGGCAAGGCGCAU